GACGAACGCUGGCGGCGUGCUUAACACAUGCAAGUGGAGCGACGAACCGGGGCUUGCCCCGGGGCAGAGCCGCGAACGGGUGAGUAACACGUGGGUAACCCACCCCGAUGACCGGGACAACCCGAGGAAACUCGGGCUAAUACCGGAUGUGCUCCUUGACCUCGAGGUCAAGGCGUAAAGAUAGCUUCGGCCUUCGCAUCGGGACGGGCCCGCGGCCCAUUAGCUUGUUGGUGGGGUAAAGGCCUACCAAGGCGACGANGGGUAGCUGGUCUGAGAGGACGAUCAGCCACACUGGGACUGAGACACGGCCAGACUCCUACGGGAGGCAGCAGGUGGGAAUCUUGCGCAAUGCGCGAAAG
rnacentral:rRNA from 1 species